AUGGAUCCAAGUGAGAAAUUGACUGUGCGGUUUCAUUUUGGUGGGCAAUUUAUUCGAAUUGGGCCAAAUUUGGAUUACAUUGGUGGGGAUGAGGAAAUGUCAGAGUUAGAGAGGGACAAAGUGUCCCUACCUGAGGUCAAAGGCUUUCUUGGUGAUCACAUAACUUUUAAAGAAAGUAUGAAAAUUUACUUUCUAUUGCCUGGUAAAGAACUAGUGAAUGGCUUGUUAUUUCUCUCUGAUGAUGCUGGUUGUAUGAAGAUGUCAGAAUACACUACUGAUGGUGGAGUAGCUGAGGUUUAUGUGGAAUAUUUUGGGGAGCAGGAUAAUCAAAGUGGCAGUGAAGACAGUGUUAGUAACUUUGGGGAUGAGAUAGGUAUUGAUGCUGAUGAAGAAAGUGAUACUGCACCUGACUGUAUUAUAACUGCAGAAGAUGAUCAUGUGCUUGUACCAAAUCAGAGAGGAGUGAUAACUGAAAUACUUAGUAGCCCUACAAAACGUAAGUUUAUGAAGAAACAGAGGGAUGAUACAGGGCAAUGCUCUCAAGUGAAUGUGUGUGCAGAUCUCAUAACUGGCAGCUCUCAGGUACUAGAUCCUGCAUCACAAGGUGGUACUGCUGCUGCAAUCACUAUAGCAGGAACUCAAUAG
rnacentral:rRNA from 1 species